rnacentral:tRNA from 1 species
GGUCCUAUAGCUCAACAGGAUAGAGCAACAGUUUUCUAAACUGUAGGUUCUAGGUUCGAUUCCUAGUGGGACUG